rnacentral:misc_RNA from 1 species
CAUGCCCUGAGGAAGAAGAGU